GAUGAACGCUGGCGGCGUGCCUAACACAUGCAAGUCGAGCGAAGCGCUUAAAUUAGAUUUCUUCGGAAUGACGCUUUUUGUGACUGAGCGGCGGACGGGUGAGUAACGCGUGGGUAACCUGCCUCAUACAGGGGGAUAACAGUUAGAAAUGACUGCUAAUACCGCAUAAGACCCCAGCUUCGCAUGAAGCGGUGGUAAAAACUCCGGUGGUAUGAGAUGGACCCGAGUCUGAUUAGCUAGUUGGUAAGGUAACGGCUUACCAAGGCGACGAUCAGUAGCCGAGCUGAGAGGGUGACCCGCCACAUUGGGACUGAGACGCGGCCCAGACUCCUACGGGAUGCAGCAGUGGGGAAUAUUGCACAAUGGGGGAAAUGCUGAUGCAGCGACGCCGGGUGAAGGAUGAAGUAUGUCGGUAAGUAAACUUCUAUCAGCAGGGAAGAAAGUGACGGUACCUGACUAAGAAGCCCCGGCUAACUACGUG
rnacentral:rRNA from 1 species